rnacentral:lncRNA from 1 species
UUUUUGGGUUAGUUGCAGCAGAACCUCUUUUUCCAUUUCCACAUCUGUAUAUGAAGAAGAAGUAGAGGAAGAGGAAGAGGAAGAGGAAGAGGAAGAGGAAGAGGAGAUUCGUAAACGUAAGUGAUUUCCAGUUGAUAACAAUGUUACCCACAUUUUAUCUUUAAACCUCAAUUUCUGCUGAUUUUCAAAUGGUUAUAGGAUUAAUUAAAAACUUACACAACAUUUCAAUUAAUUGCAAUAUAUCAGUCAUUAUAUAAUUGAAGCUAACUUGUGUUAAG